GACGAACGCUGGCGGCGUGCUUAACACAUGCAAGUCGAACGGUAAGGCCCUUCGGGGUACACGAGUGGCGAACGGGUGAGCAACACGUGGGUGAUCUGCCCUGCACUUCGGGAUAAGCCUGGGAAACAGGGUCUAAUACCGGAUAGGACCACUGCCUGCAUGGGUGGUGGUGGAAAGCUUUUGCGGUGUGGGAUGGGCCCGCGGCCUAUCAGCUUGUUGGUGGGGUGAUGGCCUACCAAGGCGACGACGGGUAGCCGGCCUGAGAGGGUGACCGGCCACACUGGGACUGAGAUACGGCCCAGACUCCUACAGGAGGCAGCAGUGGGGAAUAUUGCACAAUGGGCGCAAGCCUGAUGCAGCGACGCCGCGUGAGGGAUGACGGCCUUCGGGUUGUAAACCUCUUUCAGCACCGACGAAGCGCAAGUGACGGUAGGUGCAGAAGAAGGCCCGGCCAACUACGUGCCAGCCGCCGCAGUAA
rnacentral:rRNA from 1 species